CUCGUCCCAGGCGGGGUUGUCGCCGUUGUCGAGGUCGACGCGGGUGGAGCAGCGCGCGCCGGCGUCGAUCCAGAGCACGGCGUAGGGCUUGAGGUCGCCGUUGCGCCAGUUGACGUUCUUGAGGUCGCGGGCGGAGCCGACGGUGAUCUCCACCUCGUACCGCGAGCCCAUCUUGUGGCGCUGGUGGUGGUGGUGUUGUCCGGCGGCGAUGUGAUGAGGUGAGGUUGGAGUGGGAGUGGGAGGACGGGUUGAGGAAGCCGGUGGGCAUAAAUAGCCGCCAGGAGCGCGUGCGCGGGGCGGCUCGGGCUGGGGGCGCGUGCACUGGGGAUGGUGCGGCGCAGCCCGUAAUGUU
rnacentral:lncRNA from 1 species